AUUCCCCUAGUAAUGGCGAAUGAAACGGGAAGAGCCCAUCGUCGAAUCGCAAGUCGUCUCGGCUUUGUGAAAUGUGACGUUUGGGAGGGUCGCCCACGGUUCAGACGAUCAGUCCAAGUCCAACUUGACAGUGGCCACAGCCCAUAGAGGGUGAUAGGCCCGUAAGGCGGUUGUCUGGCUGUGCUGACCUCUCUCUAGAGUCGGAUUGCUUGGGAGUGCAGUCCAAAGCGCGAGGUAAACUCCUCGUAAGGCUAAAUAUAACCCCGAGACCGAUAGCAAACAAGUACAGUGAUGGAAAAUUGAAAAGAACUUUGAAGAGAGAGUUAAGAGUACGUGAAACUGUGUGGUGGUAAACGGAGGCGUUCUCGAAGUGUCCACGGGGGACUCAAGCUUGGUGUCGGGCAGCCGGUGNGCCUUGAUCAGCAAUGACUGGGUGCGCCGUGCGGGCUUGCCUCCCGGCCGCACUUUCCCCGUGGUUGACGGCAGGAACUGUUGGGACCGGACCAAAGGCCUGGGAUGAAGUUGCUUGCCCUUGCGGGCUUGUANCUCCCGGUGUCCUGGCUUCGGGCCCGACGGGGUAUGAGUGGACUUGUAUAGCAAGCGACAGCCUGUUGCGGUUCACAUCUCUCUGCCGAGUAGGUCGGCGGCGCC
rnacentral:rRNA from 1 species